UUUUUAUUAAUAUUGCUAUGGUCACUGUAGUUAGACACCUUAUGCUAGACAUUCAGUUUUAAUCCAAACUGGUUUUCUGGAUAUUGCAAUGGUCACUUUAAUUAAACUUUAUUACCUGACUUUCAGUUUGCUCCAACUGUUUUUAUUAAUAUUGCUAUGGUCACUUUAGUUAGAUUUUUAAUGCUAGACAUUCAGUUUUUCUCCAAACUGUUUCUGGAUAUGCAUGGCCACUUUAGUUAAACUUUAUUAGCUUGCCCUGCAAUCUUGGCCUAAACGUUUUUCAUUAUUUUGCACUUGCCUUCCAUUUGGACUUGUAUAGUGUGAUAUUCUCCCCCUGUUACCCUUCCCCCGAAUUAACCCUGUAUUUUCUGCCUUAUUAGCCUGUUUGGUUUUCUGUUGCUGGCACCUUU